rnacentral:lncRNA from 1 species
AUGUGCUUCUGUCCAUCAUCUGGGUCAUAUAUAGUUCAAUGCGAGCUGAGCAGACAGGGCUGCAAGGAAAUCUGGCGCGGUUCAAUACCUCGUCUAGCCUGGGUUCCAGUAUCUAAUUUUUUUUUUGUUUUAACUGACAAACUCAUUUCUCUACUGGGACAGGAUGCUGUGCUGGCUGGAAGUUCCAUUUCUACAGCAAGAAUCCUAUCUGGAAACACAGAAGUUGUCCUCUAGCCACAGCAGCUCGAACUUUUUUGAUUGUCGUUGCUGCUUUCUCCCAUCACCCCCAUCCCCUUUUGACAAAGAUCCAACUGUAAAAAGUCUUACGUAACAGUUCAGGACUACUUCGGUUCUUUUACUGGAUCAUAUAAAUCUUUCGCCUUUUAAAUCAUGUAUUAAAAAAAAAGAAAAAGGAAAAACAAAGAUUUCUUUUAGAUGCAGAAUCUACCUACAUUCGGCUGAAAAUCAGAUGGAAGAAUCCACAGAGGAAAGGAAGGAAAGGCGAACUGUCCUGUGGAAAGCACAGCUGCAGGGAUAGUAGAAAGUAACAGGCUCUCGAUCCGUGGGAGGUGGUCACUUUGGAGGACAGAUAAGUCAUCCUCAGAGAACGAACACAAUGAAGGAAAUUCCAGCCUAUUCAUGUUCUCCUCUCAGGCUGUACCUCAACAAGAUCCAACUGGACUUUGUGAUCUCAUAACCUGUCAAGGGGCCUGGCAUGGAGUAGAUAAUAAAUGUUUUUUUUAAUCAAAUGAAUUUUUAACUUUUUUUAUCAAACGAAUUUUCUUGUAAUUUCUAGCACAAUUAUAUUUAUAACUUAGGAAGUAAUCUUCUCCUUGAACCAAGCACAGGAUACCUUCAGCUAUCUAUCUGUCCCACACAUUGCAGUUUCAGCCUAUAUAUAAUUUUAAUAGCUACCAAAUAU